AGAAGGUGACAUGCAGAGGGUAGCUGGCUCUGCCUUGGAGGGCAAAGUGGGCUGCUGGUGCUAUGCUGAAGAGCAAAGCAGGUGGGGGCUCCCCAGGCCCCAUCCCUGGUAUUGGAAACUUGACUGAAGACUACGUAUCAUGCACUGGAGAAGGUAACAGUCCUUUAAUACUAAUUUUGAUUUAUUGAUACUAUUUUAUAUGGUCUUAAAGCAAUUGCAUUAAAUGUCUGGAUUUUCUUUGUGUUGUUUGUGCCUGAGACUACAGAAUCUGUCCCUGAGUUUCUCGGUACCUUGAGAGUAGGUUUUGUUUAAUUCUUGAAUUCUUGAAUUCUUUACUUUCCACCAGUCGGUGGAAAUUUUUGUUUAAAUUCCUCAGGAUGCAUAUUGCAUUUAGGCAAUUUUAUAUUUCAAGAUUUAUAGAAAACAUGGAGUAGCUUGCCUUCAGAAAACUUUCUGUAAACAUGCCAUUGUUUAAAACAAGGUAUCUAAUUUGAACAAACAGUUUACAAAAGGAGAUUGGUA
rnacentral:lncRNA from 1 species